rnacentral:sRNA from 1 species
AGGUUCGACUCGAGCGUAGCGAGAGAACGUUGCGUCAGCAACGGCCCGUAGGGCGAGCCACGAAGUGGCGAGUCAUCCUCUAUCACCGACCA